rnacentral:tRNA from 1 species
GGACGCUUAGCUCAGCUGGUAGAGCAUCUGACUCUUAAUCAGAGGGUCGCGGGUUCGAAUCCCGCAGCGUCUA